AGAGAGAGUGACAGGGGGACAGAGAGACAGAGCAAGAUCUUUCUUGCUCUGUCUCUCUGUCCCUCUGUCACUUUCUCUUU
rnacentral:pre_miRNA from 1 species